rnacentral:rRNA from 1 species
GGGUUGUGAGGUUAAGCGACUAAGCGUACACGGUGGAUGCCCUGGCAGUCAGAGGCGAUGAAGGACGUGCUAAUCUGCGAUAAGCGUCGGUAAGGUGAUAUGAACCGUUAUAACCGGCGAUUUCCGAAUGGGGAAACCCAGUGUGAUUCGUCACACUAUCAUUAACUGAAUCCAUAGGUUAAUGAGGCGAACCGGGGGAACUGAAACAUCUAAGUACCCCGAGGAAAAGAAAUCAACCGAGAUUCCCCCAGUAGCGGCGAGCGAACGGGGAGCAGCCCAGAGCCUGAAUCAGUGUGUGUGUUAGUGGAAGCGUCUGGAAAGGCGCGCGAUACAGGGUGACAGCCCCGUACACAAAAAUGCACAUGCUGUGAGCUCGAUGAGUAGGGCGGGACACGUGGUAUCCUGUCUGAAUAUGGGGGGACCAUCCUCCAAGGCUAAAUACUCCUGACUGACCGAUAGUGAACCAGUACCGUGAGGGAAAGGCGAAAAGAACCCCGGCGAGGGGAGUGAAAAAGAACCUGAAACCGUGUACGUACAAGCAGUGGGAGCACAGAGCAAUCUGUGUGACUGCGUACCUUUUGUAUAAUGGGUCAGCGACUUAUAUUCUGUAGCAAGGUUAACCGAAUAGGGGAGCCGAAGGGAAACCGAGUCUUAACUGGGCGUUAAGUUGCAGGGUAUAGACCCGAAACCCGGUGAUCUAGCCAUGGGCAGGUUGAAGGUUGGGUAACACUAACUGGAGGACCGAACCGACUAAUGUUGAAAAAUUAGCGGAUGACUUGUGGCUGGGGGUGAAAGGCCAAUCAAACCGGGAGAUAGCUGGUUCUCCCCGAAAGCUAUUUAGGUAGCGCCUCGUGAAUUCAUCUCCGGGGGUAGAGCACUGUUUCGGCAAGGGGGUCAUCCCGACUUACCAACCCGAUGCAAACUGCGAAUACCGGAGAAUGUUAUCACGGGAGACACACGGCGGGUGCUAACGUCCGUCGUGAAGAGGGAAACAACCCAGACCGCCAGCUAAGGUCCCAAAGUCAUGGUUAAGUGGGAAACGAUGUGGGAAGGCCCAGACAGCCAGGAUGUUGGCUUAGAAGCAGCCAUCAUUUAAAGAAAGCGUAAUAGCUCACUGGUCGAGUCGGCCUGCGCGGAAGAUGUAACGGGGCUAAACCAUGCACCGAAGCUGCGGCAGCGACGCUUAUGCGUUGUUGGGUAGGGGAGCGUUCUGUAAGCCUGUGAAGGUGUACUGUGAGGUAUGCUGGAGGUAUCAGAAGUGCGAAUGCUGACAUAAGUAACGAUAAAGCGGGUGAAAAGCCCGCUCGCCGGAAGACCAAGGGUUCCUGUCCAACGUUAAUCGGGGCAGGGUGAGUCGACCCCUAAGGCGAGGCCGAAAGGCGUAGUCGAUGGGAAACAGGUUAAUAUUCCUGUACUUGGUGUUACUGCGAAGGGGGGACGGAGAAGGCUAUGUUGGCCGGGCGACGGUUGUCCCGGUUUAAGCGUGUAGGCUGGUUUUCCAGGCAAAUCCGGAAAAUCAAGGCUGAGGCGUGAUGACGAGGCACUACGGUGCUGAAGCAACAAAUGCCCUGCUUCCAGGAAAAGCCUCUAAGCAUCAGGUAACAUCAAAUCGUACCCCAAACCGACACAGGUGGUCAGGUAGAGAAUACCAAGGCGCUUGAGAGAACUCGGGUGAAGGAACUAGGCAAAAUGGUGCCGUAACUUCGGGAGAAGGCACGCUGAUAUGUAGGUGAAGUCCCUCGCGGAUGGAGCUGAAAUCAGUCGAAGAUACCAGCUGGCUGCAACUGUUUAUUAAAAACACAGCACUGUGCAAACACGAAAGUGGACGUAUACGGUGUGACGCCUGCCCGGUGCCGGAAGGUUAAUUGAUGGGGUUAGCGCAAGCGAAGCUCUUGAUCGAAGCCCCGGUAAACGGCGGCCGUAACUAUAACGGUCCUAAGGUAGCGAAAUUCCUUGUCGGGUAAGUUCCGACCUGCACGAAUGGCGUAAUGAUGGCCAGGCUGUCUCCACCCGAGACUCAGUGAAAUUGAACUCGCUGUGAAGAUGCAGUGUACCCGCGGCAAGACGGAAAGACCCCGUGAACCUUUACUAUAGCUUGACACUGAACAUUGAGCCUUGAUGUGUAGGAUAGGUGGGAGGCUUUGAAGUGUGGACGCCAGUCUGCAUGGAGCCGACCUUGAAAUACCACCCUUUAAUGUUUGAUGUUCUAACGUUGACCCGUAAUCCGGGUUGCGGACAGUGUCUGGUGGGUAGUUUGACUGGGGCGGUCUCCUCCUAAAGAGUAACGGAGGAGCACGAAGGUUGGCUAAUCCUGGUCGGACAUCAGGAGGUUAGUGCAAUGGCAUAAGCCAGCUUGACUGCGAGCGUGACGGCGCGAGCAGGUGCGAAAGCAGGUCAUAGUGAUCCGGUGGUUCUGAAUGGAAGGGCCAUCGCUCAACGGAUAAAAGGUACUCCGGGGAUAACAGGCUGAUACCGCCCAAGAGUUCAUAUCGACGGCGGUGUUUGGCACCUCGAUGUCGGCUCAUCACAUCCUGGGGCUGAAGUAGGUCCCAAGGGUAUGGCUGUUCGCCAUUUAAAGUGGUACGCGAGCUGGGUUUAGAACGUCGUGAGACAGUUCGGUCCCUAUCUGCCGUGGGCGCUGGAGAACUGAGGGGGGCUGCUCCUAGUACGAGAGGACCGGAGUGGACGCAUCACUGGUGUUCGGGUUGUCAUGCCAAUGGCACUGCCCGGUAGCUAAAUGCGGAAGAGAUAAGUGCUGAAAGCAUCUAAGCACGAAACUUGCCCCGAGAUGAGUUCUCCCUGACCCUUUAAGGGUCCUGAAGGAACGUUGAAGACGACGACGUUGAUAGGCCGGGUGUGUAAGCGCAGCGAUGCGUUGAGCUAACCGGUACUAAUGAACCGUGAGGCUUAACCUUACAACGCCGAAGGUGUUU